AUUCCAGCUCCAAUAGCGUAUAUUAAAGUUGCUGCAGUUAAAAAGCUCGUAGUUGGAUCUUGGGAGCGGGCGGGCGGUCCGCCGCGAGGCGAGCCACCGCCCGUCCCCGCCCCUUGCCUCUCGGCGCCCCCUCGAUGCUCUUAGCUGAGUGUCCCGCGGGGCCCGAAGCGUUUACUUUGAAAAGAUUAGAGUGUUCAAAGCAGGCCCGAGCCGCCUGGAUACCGCAGCUAGGAAUAAUGGAAUAGGACCGCGGUUCUAUUUUGUUGGUUUUCGGAACUGAGGCCAUGAUUAAGAGGGACGGCCGGGGGCAUUCGUAUUGCGCCGCUAGAGGUGAAAUUCUUGGACCGGCGCAAGACGGACCAGAGCGAAAGCAUUUGCCAAGAAUGUUUUCAUUG
rnacentral:rRNA from 1 species